rnacentral:rRNA from 1 species
AUUGAACGCUGGCGGCAGGCCUAACACAUGCAAGUCGAACGAGUGGCGGACGGGUGAGUAAUGUCUGGGAAACUGCCCGAUGGAGGGGGAUAACUACUGGAAACGGUAGCUAAUACCGCAUACCAUCGGAUGUGCCCAGAUGGGAUUAGCUAGUAGGUGGGGUAACGGCUCACCUAGGAGACGAUCCCUAGCGGGUCUGAGCGGCUGAACAGCCACACUGGAACGGAGACACGGUCCAGACUCCUACGGGGGGCAGCAGUGGGGAAUAGUGCACAAUGGGCGCAAGCCUGAUGCAGCCAUGCCGCGUGGAUGAAGAAGGCCUUCGGGUUGUAAAGUACUUUCAGCGGGGAGGCGUUACUCGCAGAAGAAGCACCGGCUAACUCCGUGCCAGCAGCCGCGGUAAGUC